CCUACGGGUGGCAGCAGUGAGGAAUUUUGGUCAAUGGGCGCGAGCCUGAACCAGCCAAGUAGCGUGAAGGAUGAAUGCCCUACGGGUUGUAAGCUUCUUUUAUAAAGGAAUAAAUUGAGGCACGUGAGCCUUUUUGUAUUGACUUUAUGAAUAAGGACAGGCUAACUCCGUGCCAUCCGCCGCGGUAAUACGGAGGAUGCGAGCGUUAUCCGGAUUGGCUGGGUUUAAAGGGAACGUCGAUGGUUUGUUAAGUCAGUUGUGAAAGUUUGCGGUUCAACCGUAAAAUGGCAAUUGAUACUGGCAGCCUUGAGUACAGUAGAGGUAGGCAGAAUUCGUGGUGUAGCGGUGAAAUGCGUAGAUAUCACGAAGAACUCCGAUUGCGAAGGCAGCUUACUAAACUGCCACUGACAUUGAUGCUCGAAAGUGUGGGUAGCAAACAGGAUUAGAUACCCUUGUAGUC
rnacentral:rRNA from 1 species